rnacentral:rRNA from 1 species
UACAGAGGUCUCAAGCGUUGUUCGGAUUCAUUGGGUGUAAAGGGUGCGUAGGCGGCGCGGUAAGUCGGAUGUGAAAUCUCGGAGCUUAACUUCGAAACUGCAUUCGAUACUGCCGUGCUUGAGGACUGGAGAGGAGACUGGAAUUUACGGUGUAGCGGUGAAAUGCGUAGAUAUCGUAAGGAAGACCAGUGGCGAAGGCGGGUCUCUGGACAGUUCCUGACGCUGAGGCACGAAGGCCAGGGGAGCAAACGGG